CCAGCCUUGUUCUACAGGCAAACUGGGCCCCGGGGGACAUAACAGGCCCUGAAGAGAGCCUUCCAAAUGUGCUCCCACUCCCUCCCCGAGGGGGGAAAGUGACCUCCGGUGAACAAAUGCUCUUUCACCUUUGCUGUUCAGAAGUUGUUAACACGGGGCCGUGACGUGACUGAUUUGCUGCUUUCCUGUCUUCUGUGGAGCAACUUCUACUCUUUCUACCCUCAGAGCUAUCUCCAUGUAUUUGAAUGACCUCAGCUGUCCUGCAGCUGGCUGGCCUCUGCCUUCCUCUCCAGAUCAUCCGGGAACUGUGCUUUCUGGCUUCUGCUUCUCAGCUUGGCCGUUAGCUGUGGGAAGCCACACAGGGCUGAACUGUCUCCCUCCCUGUCUCCUCUGUUUGUCUCCUGCGUCUCUACAAUAGCUCUGCUUAAUAAGGAGUCUGGGAAGACAGCUCCUCCAGCAUUUCCACAGCUCCGCUUUGUGAGUAGAAGACAAAGGUGACUUCCUAGCCCACCCAAUCUGAAACAAGCUGGCAAAUGAAAUUUCCAUUCACCAACUGCAACUGAUUUGUAGUCCUUGAGCACCAACCGUAUGUUUCAGCUCUUCACAGUGUCACUGCUUCAAACUUGCCCUCCCCUGGAUUGUAUUCCCUUCGGUUUACUAGGAACUGUGGAGGGGUCAGUCUGUCCCGGAAGUGUGAGGACCAUGUUACAGAGGUGGGGGUGGCCCACAUCUUCCCUCUCCUGGAUAGACCCUGGAAGCUCAGUUCUUCAGAAAGAAGACGUGGACCCCGGAGAUAAGGCAGAAGGCAGUGCUGGGGCAGUGCACCUUCAACCAUCCAUGGAGAAUGACCCAUGUUUCCAAGACUCUGGCAGACACCUGGAGCAGAGUCCUGGCCGUGCAAGGGCUCAUGACCGUGUGUGUGGAUUGGUGUGGGACCCAGGCCCACCAAGCGGCACCUAAGCACCGAGGAGCUGCACAGUGCCAGGCUUUUCUCAAUUGUCCCACUCUAUAGGGCAAUGCACAGGGGCCUUACGGACUAGAACUGCACUGGGGGGAAUUCUUGGCUAUUAGUGUGGUCUUCAGGUUUCCUCCUGAGGUGGGGCAUGGGGAAGCCCUAGAAGGACAACAGCUGCCUAUGGUCUGAGCUGGAGUGGUGGGGAUGGAGUACUCCCCAGUAAAACACUGAAAACAGCUGGGAAGCCCCAGCAGAGUACUCUUCAGCGGGAAAUUCACAGCCCCACUUGUCUAUGAAAACACAAAAUCUCUCUGCCUCCAGGUUGAGUAACUCUGUACCAGGGGUGUGCUGAAGGGCUUGGGAGAAAUACCUCUCUAGGUGUCUCAGAAAAAGCAGAUUCUCUGAGAAGGUAGUGAUAGACUCUAAGUUGUGGCCAAGUUAAUUUCCAGGGAGUUAACAUUUUCCCCUUACAGUUAUUUUUGUGUACUUAUGUGACUAUGUGUUCUAGCUUUUGCACCUUUUCCACUGGGUUAAUGAUUAUCUGCCUCAAACUCUCUUUAUCUUGAAAAUUAAUUUUAAAAGUAGCCAUUAAUUUAAGUGCCUAUAUUUACACCCUGACAGUAUCCCUGAAUUAAACAUUUACCUAUCACCAUAGUAAACAUUAACAG
rnacentral:lncRNA from 1 species